rnacentral:rRNA from 1 species
GUACGUAGGGGGCGAGCGUUGUCCGGAGUUGACUGGGCGUAAAGGGCACGCAGGCGGUGCGGCGCGUUUCGCGUGACAGCGGAGGGCUUAACUCUCCGAGGAUGCGAAAGACGGCGGCACUUGAGGGCCAGAGAGGGACACGGAAUUCCGGGUGGAGUGGUGAAAUGCGUAGAGAUCCGGAGGAACACCGAAGGCGAAGGCAGUGUCCUGGCUGGUGACUGACGCUGAGGUGCGAAAGCUAGGGGAGCGAACGGG